GGAGGUCAGGGUAUCUCAGUGGAGAUCCAUACCUACCUGAGGCCUUCUAAAGGACCCAGAAUAGCUGUGCAUGCAUCCUAAAUGUUUCCACAGCUGAGGUUCAUCCUUGGACUCUGGUGGUCUGGAACAACUGCCUUACCAGUUCUCUCUGACAGAUGUAGUCUGCCUCAAUCACAAGCAAACUGCAGCAGACAGAACAGUAUUUUUAACUCCAGAGUGCUCAUCAGAUGAAACAGGUCAUGGAAACAAUAACAUUUAAGUGCUACUUGUAAUCUUCAUCAUUGGCCAUCUCAAGCUAUUUGCAUCUCUCAUCUGGCAACCAAGUGUACCUUUCCUGCAUAGGAGGAGUGCCAUCAGGUAACUGAUUUAUGGAAAUAAGUGUUUGAGGGACUCAGAGACUGAUUUCAUGUAAGAGUGCAAAAAGAAGAGGCGUGAGUAGAGAAACAGCAUUCCUGAGAAAAGACGAUCGUAACUGCCAUUCCCUGUCUGCCACCGAAUCCAAUUGCACGGUCUCUACUUUGGGCUUCAUUAAACAGCAGAAACCUAGUAUUUGCUAAGUACCCCACUGAUAAUGCAGGGCCAUGGAUCUUGAUGUAUCUUUUUGCUUUGUUGCUGUAUAUAGAUUUCUGCACUUUCCCAGUGCUGUAAGUGACACAGCACAUUUUAAUUAAGUUGCAAUUGAGAGAUUAUACCGAACUUCAGCUAUAAGCUAUUAUGGUAGAGUCCAUUAUAGAACAGUGUAUAGGAAUGAAUUACAACAAAAUCAUGAAGUACUGUUCACCUUUGUAAGUAGAUGGACAGAAUGUAAUCAUUAAAAAAAAAAAAUCCUAUAGCUGUAGUUUGCAAUUUGCAUUUUUCCCUUCCUUUAAAUAGCAGUUAUUUUUUUUUGUAGGUAAAUCUUUGUUUCUCUGGUUGACAGUGGAAAUGAUUGCUUUCUUUAUACAGGGAAACAAAUUGCUGUAGCCCUCCUAAUAAGGAUUGUGAUGAUCUACAGAUCAUGGCAGGCACUGCUUUAUUAACUACUCCCAAGUUAACGCAAACAGCUUUGUUCACAGAACCAUUCCAAUAAUAAGAAAAUGCUGGGAAAAAAAUGAUAAACUUAAUAUCUGUCACUUACUUUAAAGGCUUGAAAAGCAUCCAACUAUGUUACUUCAAAAAUACGUAAUUCUAUUUUAAUUGAUCGUAACCUCUGUAAGGUGGUCAUGUUCCAAAUAUUUACAGACUUUUUCAUAUUUUGUCUUCAAAACUAGAUUUUAUUUUAUCAGUGUAUACAGUAUGAAGUCUUAUCCUGUACUACGAGAUCUGCUCUAAAAGUACUGCCUCCAGUUUUAUUAUGGUG